rnacentral:tRNA from 1 species
GGGGACAUAGCUCAGUGGCACAGUGCUUGCCUAACAUGCAUGAAACCUGGGUUUGAUCCCUAGUGCCACAA